rnacentral:tRNA from 2 species
UCCUCGGUAGUAUAGUGGUCAGUAUCCCCGCCUGUCACGCGGGAGACCCGGGUUCAAUUCCCGGCCGGGGAG